rnacentral:lncRNA from 13 species
AUGGAGAGAAAGAGAGGUUCUGAUGUGCUGACUAUAGUAGCGGAGCCAAGCAAAUCCAACCUGUCUGUCUGCUUGCUUGCCUGCCUGCUUGCUUGCCUGCCUGCCUGCGUAUGUGAGUGUGUAGCCUGUCUGUCUNNNNNNNNNNNCUUUAACCAUCCGAGAGGAAUCCUCUCAGUUCCUUAUUUACACUACGACAAGGAGUAUCCUCUGAGUUCCUUAUUUACACUACAACAAGGAGUAUCCUCAGUUCCUUAUUUACACUACAACAAGGAGUAUCCAUUUACACUACAACAAGGAAUAUCCUCAGUUCCUUAUUUACACUACAACAAGGAGUAUCCUCAGUUCCUUAUUUACACUACAACAAGGAGUAUCCAUUUACACUACAACAAGGAGUAUCCUCAGUUCCUUAUUUACACUACAACAAGGAGUAUCCUCUCAGUUCCUUAUUUACACUACAACAAGGAGUAUCCAUUUACACUACAACAAGGAAUAUCCUCAGUUCCUUAUUUACACUACAACAAGGAGUAUCCAUUUACACUACAACAAGGAAUAUCCUCAGUUCCUUAUUUACACUACAACAAGGAGUAUCCUCAGUUCCUUAUUUACACUACAACAAGGAGUAUCCUCUCAGUUCCUUAUUUACACUACAACAAGGAGUAUCCUCAGUUCCUUAUUUACAAUACAACAAGGACAAGUAUUUUUCAACACAACUACAAAGACUGUCACAGGGAGACUUUAUAUGGUCUAAAUUAA